AUUACAUAAAUCGCUAAGCGAAGGAAGCACUGACUCUGACUCACCGAUAAAGAUAGAGAAAGAAGAGAGAGAGUGAGAGAUGGCUGAAUACGAAGAGAGAUACGAAGGGAACGGAGAAGAAGAAGAGCUUCACAAUUCUCAUGGUCAUGCUCAUGCUGAUUCUUCUCCUCAACUUGGUGACACUACCCACCUCGAUCUCACCGAUUCCAAAUCUCGCCUUGGAUCUCGUGAUUAUGACAGAGAAUCUUCCAGAAGCAGAGAGAAGGAGCGAGAGAAAGGGAGAGAAAAGGAGAGAAAAAGAGAAAAGGGGAGGGACAGGGAUAGGGAGAGAAGUAGGGACAGGGAUACAGAGAGAAGCAGGGACAGAGAUAGGGAGAGAAGCAAAGACAAGGAACGAGAUCGUGAUGGGGAGAAGGAAAGGGACCGGGACAGGGAUCACCAUCAUAGAGAUAGACACAGGGACCGUAGUGAGAGAAGGGAAAGGGGGAGGGAUAGAGAUGAUGAUGAUGAUUAUUACAGAAGUCGGGACUUUGAUAGACGAAGGGAUUAUGAUAGAGAGGAUAGGCAUAAGCGCAAGUCUAGAUCUCGAUCUAGUUCACGUACAAGGGCUCGAUCUGAGCAUAGAUCAAGGUCACGUUCUCGUUCACGCUCAAAGAGCAAAAGGACUAGUGGUUUUGAUAUGGCUCCCCCUGCUUCUGCAAUGUUGGCUGGUGCUUCUGCUGUUGCAGGCCAGAUCACGGGGGCAAAUCCUGCAAUUCCGGGAAUGUUUCAAAAUAUGUUUCCAUUGGCUACAAAUCAGAUGCAGCAAUUUAGUGCACUCCCUGUCAUGCCAGUUCAGGCUAUGACUCAACAGGUACCAAAUAUUCAGGCUACACGGCAUGCUAGGCGGGUUUAUGUAGGGGGCCUCCCUCCUACAGCCAAUGAGCAGUCAGUUGCAACUUUCUUCAGUCAGGUUAUGGCCAAGAUUGGAGGAAACACUGCUGGUCCAGGUGAUGCGGUGGUCAACGUUUACAUCAACCAUGAUAAGAAAUUUGCCUUUGUCGAGAUGAGGUCUGUUGAGGAAGCUAGCAAUGCAAUGGCUUUGGAUGGGAUUAUUUUUGAGGGGGCACCUGUUAAAGUCCGGAGACCUACUGAUUAUAAUCCUUCUCUAGCUGCCACCCUAGGUCCAAGCCAACCUAAUCCAAACCUUAAUCUGGGCGCUGUUGGUUUAACCCCUGGGUCAGCUGGUGGACUUGAUGGUCCUGAUCGGAUUUUUGUGGGUGGACUACCUUAUUACUUUACCGAAACACAGAUCAGAGAGCUUUUAGAGACUUUUGGUCCUCUUCGAGGUUUUGAUCUAGUUAAAGAUAGAGAAACAGGAAACUCAAAGGGUUAUGCAUUUUGUGUUUACCAAGAUCUUGCAGUUACAGAUAUUGCCUGUGCAGCUCUCAAUGGAAUAAAAAUGGGAGAUAAGACUCUUACAGUUAGACGAGCUAAUCAAGGUGCAAACCCACAGCAGCCUAAGCCUGAGCAAGAGAGCAUUUUAAUGCAUGCACAGCAGCAGAUUGCUCUGCAGAAACUAAUGUUACAACCAGCAUUAGUGGCAACAAAGGUGGUGUGUUUAACUCACGCAGUUUCUGCUGAUGAGCUCAAAGAUGAUGAGGACUACGAAGAGAUUCUUGAUGAUAUGAGACAGGAGUGCUCCAAAUUUGCCAUUUGUAAUCCCACGUUCUCUCAUAACGAAUCAGACCUAACUUACAGAUCGAAGCCUCCAUAACCUUCUAUCCUUGUUCACGCAUGCUUUUUUCAUUGCAUGUUUUUGAAAAUUUAUUUGCAUAUCUAACUUUUUUUUUGUUUUCACAACUUUCAGGUACUUUGGUGAAUGUGGUGAUCCCUCGUUCCCAACCAGUUCCACAACCAGAUGGUGAACAGUCUGCAGGAGUUGGAAAGGUGUUUUUGGAGUAUGUUGAUGUUGAUGGUGCUACAAAAGCACGUGCUGGAUUGAAUGGUCGUAAAUUU